CUGAGCGUCACUGAUGAGUCUUAUGUAGACGAAACGCGCGUCUGGCGUAUAAAAUUAUAAUCUGGUAUUUUGAUAACUAAUUAUAAUAGUUACAGUUAGAAUGCAUAUCACUGAUAUCAUAUAUAAAAGGGGGGAUAACUCUCAUAUGGAGUCUCCGGAUAGCUUCGGUUGAAAUGAAACAGAACAUCCUAAGGAUAUAACGAGCAAUUUGGAAAAAUAAAUUUGUCGGUUUCUUAUACGGUUGCGAAGGAGUAGUGGCCACAAGAAAAACAGUGUUCGGGGAGAUAACUCUUACAAGGUACAGUUUUUUGUUACGCGGUGUCAGUUUCAGAAGCGUAUUAACUGUUCGAUAUCAUUUACCUUAUAUCUAAGUGAUAUCUUGUGAAACAAAAAAACAGCGAAGGAAAAAAAAGUUGGCGGAAGAAAAAAAAAAAAAUAAUAAUAUUAAAAACAAU
rnacentral:lncRNA from 1 species